rnacentral:rRNA from 1 species
AAUAUUGCACAAUGGGCGCAAGCCUGAUGCAGCCAUGCCGCGUGUGUGAAGAAGGCCUUCGGGUUGUAAAGCACUUUCAGCGGGGAGGAAGGCGCCAAGGUUAAUAACCUUGGCGAUUGACGUUACCCGCAGAAGAAGCACCGGCUAACUCCGUGCCAGCAGCCGCGGUAAUACGGAGGGUGCAAGCGUUAAUCGGAAUUACUGGGC